GCUGCGAUGGCCGAGUGGUUAAGGCGUUGGACUUGAAAUCAAUGGGAUCUUCCGCGUAGGUUCGAACCCUGCUCGCAGCG
rnacentral:tRNA from 1 species